GUAGGUGGCAAGCGUUGUCCGGAAUUAUUGGGCGUAAAGCGCGCGCAGGCGGGGUCCUUUAAGUCUGAUGUGAAAGCCCACGGGCUCAACCGUGGAGGGUCAUUGGAAACUGGGGGACUUGAGUACAGAAGAGGAAAGCGGAAUUCCAAGUGUAGCGGUGAAAUGCGUAGAGAUUUGGAGAACACCAGUGGCGAAGGCGGCUUUCUGGUCUGUAACUGACGCUGAGGCGCGAAAGCGUGGGGAGCAAACAGGAUUAGAUACCCUGGUAGUCCACGCCGUAAACGAUGAGUGCUAAGUGUUAGGGGGUUUCCGCCCCUUAGUGCUGCAGCUAACGCAUUAAGCACUCCGCCUGGGGAGUACGGCCGCGAGGCUG
rnacentral:rRNA from 1 species